rnacentral:rRNA from 1 species
ACGCUCGACACCUACGGGAAGCAGCAGUGGGGAAUAUUGCACAAUGGGGGAAACCCUGAUGCAGCGACGCCGCGUGGAGGAAGAAGGUCUUCGGAUUGUAAACUCCUGUUGUUGGGGAAAAAGAGGAUGGUACCCAACAAGGAAGUGACGGCUAACUACGUGCCAGCAGCCCCGGUAAUCUGAGCGGGCUGGCAAGGC